rnacentral:rRNA from 1 species
UACGAAGGGGGCGAGCGUUGUUCGGAAUCACUGGGCGUAAAGGGCGCGUAGGCGGCCCUCUUAGUCGCGUGUGAAAGCCCCGGGCUCAACCUGGGAACGGCGCGCGAAACGGGAGGGCUGGAGUUCGGGAGAGGAGAGUGGAAUUCCCAGUGUAGAGGUGAAAUUCGUAGAUAUUGGGAAGAACACCGGUGGCGAAGGCGGCCCUCUGGACGGUGACUGACGCUGAGACGCGAAAGCGUGGGGAGCAAACAGG